rnacentral:lncRNA from 1 species
GUUGUUGCCCGCUGAAUUUUAUCACCUAAUUCUCCUAGAGAUGAUCCAUAGUCUUUUAGUUACAGAGACGAGCAACAAAAUGUCAUUGUGGUAGAGACUGUCAUUUUAGUAACAACAGAGAUAUCCUUGAGUAGAAAAUACGUCAUAAACCCAGUGCAAAGCAUAUAAAUUCUGGAUUCCAGGUUUAGGAUGAUACUAGAAGAAAACCUCAGGGAUGUUCAUGAAGAACUUUUCUGCCAUGUUCGGGAAGUGGUGACAACAGGUAAGGUGACAACUUCUUGGUCUUCUUUACCCCCUUUCCAGGGAGAGCUGCAUUCUUCAGAGAAGGGGCUGCAAUGGCAGAAAACGCCACGUGGGACAGAACAGUGAGUCCAGGCAGAGAGCGGCCUCAGUGUACUUGUGGCACUUGUGGGUGGGAGACCCAGUCAGCUGUGGUGCUAAGAAGUGUGUCCUUCAGAAUGAGUUCGUGCAGAUACAAUAAACCCAGGGAAGGACUUCAACCCUUUCAAUAUCUGAACCCCUGAAUCCAAGACUCACGUAUGUAUUAUGAGCUUGCUGUUUAGCGUCAUCUCUCCUAUAUUAACAGAAAUACUGUAUCAGUGUAGGCUCUACUGUCUUAUUGACUGGUUUCAAAAAAAUGACUCAUUCUUAACACUUGCUAAAAAACAGUAAGGCAGACUUUAUUUGGGACCUUUGCAAUAGGUGUCGGGACUAUUGCAAUGGGAUUUUGCAGUGGGGGAGAGAGAUCGUGCUCAACUCUGAAUACAACAAGGAAAAGUGAUAAUUUAUAACCUGGGAGCAGGGUGGGAGUGAGUGGAUGGAAAAUUCCUAAGAGGAAGCAUCAAGGGUAUGGGGAUUCCAGCUAAACUGACUUAAAGUGAUUCUUGCUGAAGGCAGGUCAGGGUGAUCAGACAUCACCGGGAGGGUAGGGGAUGAGGAACCCCAUCAGAUAUUGAGAGUAAUCAGAUGUUGAGGGUGCGGGACUGUGUCUAAACUGGCUUAACAGGAUUCUUGCUAACAUUGGACAAUGCAGUGACUAACAUGGAAACCCAAAUGUCAGAGUCUAGUUGAGAGGGAGUUCAGAGGAGCCUGAUUAAACUUUAGUAAGGAGAGACUGUCACUGGAUAUUGUGUGUGUGUGUGUGUGCGCGUGCGUGUGUGUGUUUGCAUAAUUUAGAUCAUUCCAAACACUGGCAAUGCCAAAAUGAUAGGCAUGGAUUUAAAGCAUCCUCAAAAUGGACCAAACAACCAGCAAUGGCUAUGUAUUAGUCAGUUGUUGGUUUAACUACAACAGAGACAAAAUAACAGUGGCUUAAAUAAGGUAGGAGUUAAUCCUCUCCAGUAUAAUGCUGGGGGUCUGCUAGAGGCCAGGGCUGACAGGCAGGACAAUUAGCAGUCUUUGCCACAGGCUGUAGCGGUCAUUAACACUCCACUUAAAGGAGAUGUUCAUUCAUUGUGCUUUAUCAUCUCGAGCUGGUGUACAACACAUGCCUGAGAUUCCUGUGUUAAUGGUGGCAUGACCCAAAAUUAGUUAAAAAAAAAAAAGAAAGCCGCUCUCAACUAAAGCAACACACACUGGCAGCAGUAAGUUUGCUUGCUGCUGCUCAUUUAUUUUCCUACCACACUAGAUAAAUUGUGAACUUAUUAAAUACCUGGUGACAAGCUAAUUAAUGAAGCUUAACAAGACGCAGGGCCAAAUUAGCACUCAGGCUAAAUGGGGUUCAAAAGCACUAAUUAUUAGAAGUUUUGAGUUGUGAUGAAACUACUGACAUGUAUAAACCUUUAAAUUGUAUUAUUAAUCAUAUCACAUUCUAAUUUUAGAAACCUACACGUUCUUUCCAUCAUAAGUAGAGCAAAAUAGGUGAAAAAUUUUCUAAGUGCAAAAUUUAAAUUUUGAUAACCAAAUGACUUAUUUAGAAAAUUCAAACUAGAAAUUUCAAGAUUAGUUAUUCAAGAUGUAAUUAAGGUCGUAAACACAAUUCAAAUCUUAAGUGUUUCAUUUGUUCUACAGGUUUGAUUGUGUCUUUCCUUAAGGAACUUAAGUCUCAUCUAUGACCCAUGAUGGGGCCGGCCCGGUGGCGCAGUGGUUAAGUUCGCACGUUCCGCUUCUCGGUGGCCCGGGGUUCACCGGUUCGGAUCGCGGUGCGGACAUGGCACUGCUUGGCACGCCAUGCUGUGGAGGCAUCCCACAUAUAAAGUAGAGGAAGAUGGGCACGAUGUUAGCUCAGGGCCAGUCCUCCUCAGCAAAAAGAGGAGGACUGGCAGUAGUUAGCUCAGGGCUAAUCUUCCUCCAAAACAAAACAAAACAAAACAAAACAAAAAAACGAAAAAAAAAAAAAGACCAAUGAUUCCCAAUCAGCAGAAUGACCUGUGGUACAUUAAAAAAAAAAAAAAAAAAAAUUCAAGGGUUCUACCCGUGGGGAUUAUGAUUUUAUGAGUUUGGGGAAACUUGUAUUUCUAAAAAGCUCUCCAGGUGCUAGAAAUCUCUGGUUUAGGUAAUGUACUCAGGAGCACAGGUUUCGAUACUGGCUCAACACAAGGUUGACAUAAGGGAAGCCAUAUUGUAGAAAAGAAAUAAUAUUGUAACUUUAAAUGACUUCUGACUAACUAGCCCAGACAUGCUCUGUGGAUUUUGUGGUCCCUACCAGCUGCUUUAAGAUGAUAACUUUGCUCUUUUGAGUUGCUUAGGAAUGAUAACUCGUGGGCAAAGAGCCAUCAUCAAUGACAACUGAAAGAUCAGGGUAUAGGGCAUUGCUCCAUUCUCUGAUGCACAUACAGUGAAACAAAGGACUAUCAGGAACUAGGACCAGAUGUCUGCCCCCACCCAAAGAUCAGCCACCUCCCCCACCUGGAGAAUAGCUCCAUAUAUAACUGACCUGUAGUCUUUGUUCUGGGAGAUGGUUCUUUUGGACUUGAGUCGGCCAUCUUCUCUCUUGCUAGCAAGCUGUGACAAAGUCCUUUCUCUCCUACCUCCUUGCUUCCUGACUAUUGGUGUGUCUUGUGGCGAGCAGACAUUCCCCCUUGGGUGGUAACAGUUUAUAUAACAAUAAUGUCUGAGAAAUUUGAAAUGUUAGAUGAUCUGGGAAGUAUUUUUAGGUUAUUUCCUUCAUAUUAAAAAAAAUUAUGAUACUGUUACUAUUUUAGCAAAAGAGGCUCUAUUUACUUUUUAAUGACUUUUAUGAACCUGAUGGCUAAAAACAGAUCUCUUAGAAAAUCCAGCCAACACCUAAAAUGUGAUAUUUUUUCCUGCCGUAUCUUAAUUUUUAAAUAUGUUUAGAGAGAAGCUCUUUCAAGCUUUUGACGCCAGCUGCACUGGUUUUCACUGGCUGAGUCAUUUCCCUGAAAUUCGGUAUUUUAAGAACUGUUAAAUAAAUUAAACAAGAAGACCA